rnacentral:rRNA from 1 species
UCCAGACUCCUACGGGAGGCAGCAGUGGGGAAUAUUGCACAAUGGGGGGAACCCUGAUGCAGCGACGCCGCGUGGGUGAAGGAGCACCUCGGUGCGUAAAGCCCUAUCGGCAGGGAAGAAACAGACGGUACCUGACUAAGAAGCCCCGGCUAACUACGUGCCAGCAGCCGCGGUAAUACGUAGGGGCAAGCGUUAUCCGGAUUUACUGGGUGUAAAGGGAGCGUAGACGGCUGCGCAAGUCUGAAGUGAAAGCCCGGGGCUCAACCCCGGGACUGCUUUGGAAACUGUGUAGCUAGAGUGCUGGAGAGGCAAGCGGAAUUCCUAGUGUAGCGGUGAAAUGCGUAGAUAUUAGGAAGAACUCCAGUGGCGAAGGCGGCUUGCUGGACAGUAACUGACGUUGAGGCUCGAAAGCGUGGGGAGCAAACAGGAUUAGAUACCCCUGUAA